rnacentral:misc_RNA from 1 species
UUUUUCUAGCAGGGUAUUACAAACUAAACACCAUUAAAAGUAAACAAAUUAAAAUCACUCUGCAACGCCGGGGGCUACCACUACAUUGGCAAACGCGCAACACUAUUUCCUUAGUUCCACAAAUGAACUACAAGCAUCAUACAAUACAGGACUUGAAAUACCUAGUAAUACAUGAGCUGUUGGGUGGUUGCAAUAUUUUGAAACCCACCAUCAUAUAUAGUUUGACUAGUGCCAGCACCACCCAUCCCAAUUCCCAUCCCCAUUCCCAUGGCUGCCUGCUUGAGGGCAUGCUGAGCCGCCUGUGGAUGCAUUAGCGCUUGUGCUGCACCCAUUUUGCUCAAUGCCAUUUGUCGCUCAUACGCAGCAAGUUCGGCUGCAGACAGACCUGGCAUGUGUCCCACAUUUGGUGGAGGAAGAGGAGUAGAAUUAGUCCCUGGCGGG